CAACAGAUCUCAAAUGUUUAUAACUUACAGGAAGAAUACCACGGGUCCAGAAGUCUCCUCCCAGUUUGAGGAGGAAGGAAAAAAACAGCUUGGAUCUGUCAUUUGCCACUUGCCACCAUGACGUCAGCUCGGGGCUGAACUCCCUACCUGUGGCAGGGACCUUAAAUGAGCUGACGCUGGAAAAGAAAAGCACUUCAUCUCAGGUUUAGCGAGGAGUAGCAGCAGCAGCAGAGGCAGCAAUGGGACGCUCUAUGUUCUUCACUGUGCUGCUUUGCUUGGUGUUGAGCCUUUCAGAAGCUACCACACCUGCAACAACUGGGAGCAGUUCUACCAUCACUACAGUACUAACAACAGAUGGAAACGUAUCGACAACAACUGAGAACACUACUGCCGACAAUUCUUCAUCAGCAACACCAGGUAAUUAUGAAAAGUCCCUUCAUCAGCCCUUUACGAGAGGGUUAGACCAUUUCUAGGAACGGCAGAGGCCAGAGGCAGCACUGUGUCCCCCUGUCCAGAGGGCAUGCCCUUGGAGGAACUGCAGGGAGUUGUUGCUGUGGUUCUUUGGAGCAUGGUCAGGGAAGGAGGUAGGGACUUGUCCUCCCUGGUCAGGCCCCAUGCCAUGUCUUUUUAGUAUGUAUAUGCAGUUACAGAUGUAGGUGUUGUGGACUACUUCUACAUAGUACUGCAGAGCAGGCCAUCAUCAGGAGCUGGGUGAUCUUGCCAGCUCUGUCAGCUGGUACUGGCCAUGCAGAACAUCAUGCACUCUGAAGGAG
rnacentral:lncRNA from 1 species